rnacentral:rRNA from 1 species
AUUGAACGCUGGCGGCAGGCCUAACACAUGCAAGUCGAGCGGAUGAAGGGAGCUUGCUCCUGGAUUCAGCGGCGGACGGGUGAGUAAUGCCUAGGAAUCUGCCUGGUAGUGGGGGAUAACGUCCGGAAACGGGCGCUAAUACCGCAUACGUCCUGAGGGAGAAAGUGGGGGAUCUUCGGACCUCACGCUAUCAGAUGAGCCUAGGUCGGAUUAGCUAGUUGGUGGGGUAAAGGCCUACCAAGGCGACGAUCCGUAACUGGUCUGAGAGGAUGAUCAGUCACACUGGAACUGAGACACGGUCCAGACUCCUCCGGGAGGCAGCAGUGGGGAAUAUUGGACAAUGGGCGAAAGCCUGAUCCAGCCCUGCCGCGUGUGUGAAGAAGGUCUUCGGAUUGUAAAGCACUUUAAGUUGGGAGGAAGGGCAGUAAGUUAAUACCUUGCUGUUUUGACGUUACCAACAGAAUAAGCACCGGCUAACUUCGUG